GAAGGUACAGCUCAGCGGUAGAGCGCAGGCUUCGUGUGCACGGGGUCCUGGGUUCAAUCCCCAGUGCCUCCA
rnacentral:tRNA from 1 species